rnacentral:rRNA from 1 species
AUACGGAGGGUGCGAGCGUUAAUCGGAAUUACUGGGCGUAAAGGGCGCGUAGGCGGCCUGUCAAGUCAGGGGUGAAAGGCCCGGGCUCAACCCGGGAACUGCCCUUGAAACUGGCAAGCUAGAGUCCGAGAGAGGAUGGCGGAAUUCCCAGUGUAGAGGUGAAAUUCGUAGAUAUUGGGAAGAACACCGGUGGCGAAGGCGGCCAUCUGGCUCGGUACUGACGCUGAGGCGCGAAAGCGUGGGGAGCAAACAGGAUUAGAUACCCCAGUAGUCC